rnacentral:misc_RNA from 1 species
UUUCCGUAGGUGAACCUGCGGAAGGAUCAUUAAUGAAUUUUAUGGCAGAGUUGUAGCUGGUCCUAAUCGGACAUGUGCACACUUUGUUCAUUCCAAUUCUCAUACACCUCUGUGCACUUUUCAUAGGUUUAAUGUGGAAAAGGUUUCUGGCCUUGGAAAUAUUAGCCUAUGUAUUUACAAACGCUUUAGUUUUAGAAUGUCAAUCGCGUAUAACGCAAUAAAUACAACUUUUAGCAACGGAUCUCUUGGCUCUCGCAUCGAUGAAGAACGCAGC